CGAUCCUCUUGCCUCAGCCUCCUGGGCAGCUGGGACUACAGGUUGAGUGAAUCCACAGAUGAAGAACCCACGGAUACAGAGGGUCACCUGUAUGUAUAUAUUCUCCACACGGCCCCAAGGAAGAAAUUUUUUUUUCUAGUGUGGCAAUGUAUUAAACUUGUUCCAAAUAAGUA